UGUACUGCAUUAAACAUCAUAUCUAGCAAUUUGAAAUUACUUUUUCUGCAUAUGCAGCUACACCAUUUUGUUUGAUAAACUACUUAUUUUUUACAUUUGAUUUCAAUGAUUGCAUUUUGUGAAAGAUGAGAUCUCUAAAGGUGGAUUCUGAAAUGAUUGUCUCCCUUCAAAAAAUUCUGCAUUCUGGUUCUCCAAGGCCACAUUUGAAAGAUUUGUGCGAUCCGUUAGCACACCUGCAAUUUUGGAGAGGUUCAUCAGCCUUGAAAAAGAAAUCCUGCAGAUUGAAAGUUCAUUUCAAGCAAAUGCUUUGUUGAUGUCCAGUGCAUCUUCAGAUGAGGGAACGGCGCCACAAGCCAAUGGAAUUACAAGGAGGUUGACUAAUUCUGCAAAGGAGGUUCAAGCUUUAGCUAAGGAGGCAGCUGAAACAGUGAUUUUGGGUCAUUGAUGAGGAAGGUGUGGAGUCACUCAUAUCAGAACUUGUGAAAGGUGUAAAUGAGCCAAGGUUGCUUUGGUCUUCACACAAGAACUAUUUUCUUGUUCUUUAAAUCAC